GGUGCAAUUUUAUCAUGCUAAUCAAUGUAAGUCAGUUCAAUAUCUCUUGGUGUCCGCAUAAACUAGGGCCCAAGGUGUUAUUGUUCUGUCAAUCAUUAUCUCUGGGUGCAAUUUUAUCAUGCUAAUCAAUGUAAGUCAGUUCAAUAUCUCUUGGAGUCCGCAUAAACUAGGGCCUAAGGUGGUAUUGUUCUGUCAAUCAUUAUCUUUGGGUGCAAUUUUAUCAUGCUAAUCACUGUAAGUCAGUUCGAUAUCUCUUGGAGUCCGCAUAAACUAGGGCCCAAGGUGGUAUUGUUCUGUCAAUCAUUAUCUCUCUAUGUGCAAUUUUUAAAUUUUUUUAAUUUAUUUUUAUCCCUUAGAGUCCGCAUAAACUAGGGCCUAAGGUGGUAUUUUUGUCAAUCAUUAUCUCUGGGUGCAAUUUUAUCAUGCUAAUCAAUGUAAGUCAGUUCGAUAUCUCUUGGAGUCCGCAUAAACUAGGGCCUAAGGUGGUAUUGUUCUGGUUGUAUUGGCUGGAAAUACAAAGUUGUAGGGACAGAGCAGCUCCAUUGAGGACUUGCAAUGAAGAUAGUGAAGCUACAGUUCCAGUGAUGCAGACAGGAUAGGGACAGCAGCUCCAAGAUUCAGACGCCAUGUCGCUGUUACAUUGUGGUUUGUGCCGAAGAAGAACAACAUCCAAGAGACCAACAGAAGGAGUAGAACAACAUAAGCAACAAAAUAAAUUUAGGUACACUUUUUCUUUGAAAUAAGAUUUGUUUCCAGUACUUUUGUGAUUUACUACAGAUAUUUUGUUUAUCUGUACUCAGAAAACACUAUUAAUACUGUUGUUUUUUUUGUCCUGUCCUGACGAGGAACAACAAGACGGAAUCAACAACAUUAAGCUAAGUGCUCUUUUUUCUUCUAAUGACAUUUUCAUUUUUCAUAUUUCAUUUCUCACAAAGAUUACAUAUUACAUUAUUGAUGUUUUGUUAACUGUAUACUUAUUCUAUCAUCUAAUUAAUGAUUUUCUCUUUUUAUUGUUCAUAAAUCUGACACCUGAUGAACACCAUACAAAGACGGAUGGCAGCAACCCCAAAGACAAAAGUAGGAUCAUCAGUGAGGACUACAGCGAAGACGGCAGCCGUUCAACCUGUGAAGACUCAGAAUUCCAACACAAGG